CCCAAAAGAAAAUGCAUUAUAUAAACAUGGGAUUACACACACAUAUAUACAUACAUGGAUUACAGUUUUCCAUUGAUAACGUAAACGAAGGAAUCCAAAAACAAACGCCAAAACUCAAAAUGAAAAUAUCAUAAAGUGUGCGUAUUUAGGUCGCUGCGUGUGACAAACUGUCGGUCCAAUACAAUAUGCCCCAAGACACCCUUCCCCCCUCGCGGCGCACUUCCCCCAAAAGUGCCCUCUACGCACACACAUACACAUGAAGUAGCACAAAUACCUACGCACUAAUAGUUUCUGUUUUUCCGUUGCUGUUCUACUUCAUUGCUCCACAGCAAAACGCAUGUUUACACCCACACGUGUGCGGUAAAUGUUAUAGGAUCAUUACAACACUUUACAACUAAUAACAUUGAAAGAUCGUUUUCAGUUACCAAUAACUUCCAAGCACUGGGCAUUUUGCCACCAUUAAAAUUAUAUUUUUUAUUACCCAAAGUGUCCAAAAGCAUAAUACUAUGCUGAUCAUCCUACGCAACGCAGCACUAUUUCUAGUACCUUCACUGUGGACACACAGACAUACAUACAGCUGUACAUACGUGUAAGAUUGUAUAAUAGUCUCUUGAUCAAAUAAGCGCCAGUGGACUUGGACCCAAAAAACAUUGCAUCGAAACGAAAACAAAAAAGAAACCACCGAAAAAUUAAUAAGAGGGUAGUGAUUCGAACUGGAUAUAUCAGUGGCCGGCAAAAAUUAAAGGGAAUUAUCAGCUCCACUAAUUCCCUUUAAUCUUGUUUUGCAAGCACUGGUCCCCCCAAGAAGUGCAACAUUUUACGGACAAAAUAAAAAAAAUCGAAGGCCCCCCACUUUA